UAUAGAUAAGAGAGGGGUAGAAGAGAAUGGAAGAUGGGGUUCAAGAAAUGAGAGACAUGUCUCCUGAGGAAGAGGAUUUAAUUUGCAGGCUUCACCGUCUUUUAGGAGACAGGUGGGAAAUUAUAUCAGGAAGGCUUCCAAACCGAACUUCCAAAGAAGUGAGAAGUAUUGGAAGAUGAAAGAGAUUGAAAAAUUUAAGACGAAUAAAAUUUACAAACCAAUUUGCACCAGACUAGGUCCAUCUUUCAAGUUCUCAGAGGACAAUAAAAAACAAAAGCUAUGAUUAUGUUUCAGCCCUUAUGAACUACUUGCUUUGUUAGCCUGGUUAUCUUUAUGUAUCAUUUAUAAUUA